rnacentral:tRNA from 2 species
GCCCGGGUGGUGGAAUGGCAGACACGGCGGAUUCAAAAUCCGCUGCUCGAAAGGGCGUGAGGGUUCAACUCCCUCCUCGGGCA